rnacentral:rRNA from 1 species
UACGAAGGGGGCUAGCGUUGCUCGGAAUCACUGGGCGUAAAGCGCACGUAGACGGUUACAUAAGUCAGAUGUGAAAGCCCCGGGCUCAACCUGGGAAUUGCAUUUGAGACUGUGUAGCUAGGGUGCGGAAGAGGGAAGCGGAAUUUCCGGUGUAGCGGUGAAAUGCGCAGAUAUCAGGAGGAACACCGGUGGCGAAGGCGGGUCUCUGGGCAACAACUGACGCUGAGGAGCGAAAGCGUGGGGAGCGAACAGG